UGAGCAACCUGCCCCUGACUCUGGGAUAAGCGCUGGAAACGGCGUCUAAUACCGGAUAUGAGCUGCGAAGGCAUCUUCAGCAGUUGGAAAGAUUUUUCGGUCUGGGAUGGGCUCACGGCCUAUCAGCUUGUUGGUGAGGUAAUGGCUCACCAAGGCGUCGACGGGUAGCCGGCCUGAGAGGGUGACCGGCCACACUGGGACUGAGACACGGCCCANACUCCUACGGGAGGCAGCAGUGGGGAAUAUUGCACAAUGGGCGGAAGCCUGAUGCAGCAACGCCGCGUGAGGGAUGACGGCCUUCGGGUUGUAAACCUCUUUUAGCAGGGAAGAAGCGAAAGUGACGGUACCUGCAGAAAAAGCGCCGGCUAACUACGUGCCAGCAGCCGCGGUAAUACGUAGGGCGCAAGCGUUAUCCGGAAUUAUUGGGCGUAANGAGCUCGUAGGCGGUUUGUCGCGUCUGCUGUGAAAUCCC
rnacentral:rRNA from 1 species